rnacentral:rRNA from 1 species
GAUGAACGCUGGCGGCGUGCCUAAUACAUGCAAGUCGAGCGAACAGACGAGGAGCUUGCUCCUCUGACGUUAGCGGCGGACGGGUGAGUAACACGUGGAUAACCUACCUAUAAGACUGGGAUAACUUCGGGAAACCGGAGCUAAUACCGGAUAAUAUAUUGAACCGCAUGGUUCAAUAGUGAAGGACGGUUUUGCUGUCACUUAUAGAUGGAUCCGCGCCGCAUUAGCUAGUUGGUAAGGUAACGGCUUACCAAGGCGACGAUGCGUAGCCGACCUGAGAGGGUGAUCGGCCACACUGGAACUGAGACACGGUCCAGACUCCUACGGGAGGCAGCAGUAGGGAAUCUUCCGCAAUGGGCGAAAGCUUGACGGAGCAACGCCGCGUGAGUGAUGAAGGUCUUCGGAUCGUAAAACUCUGUUAUUAGGGAAGAACAAAUGUGUAAGUAACUAUGCACGUCUUGACGGUACCUAAUCAGAAAGCCACGGCUAACUACGUG